CCCUUAGAUGUUCUGGGCCGCACGCGCGCUACACUGAUGCAUUCAACGAGCCUAUCCUUGACCGACAGGUCCGGGUAAUCUUUGAAUCUGCAUCGUGACGGGGAUAGAUUAUUGCAAUUAUUAAUCUUCAACGAGGAAUGCCUAGUAGGCGCAAGUCAUCAGCUUGCGUCGAUUACGUCCCUGCCCUUUGUACACACCGCCCGUCGCUACUGCCAACUGAGAUGGGUCCUGAAUUGUUAGGAACGCCCGUCAAGGGGCCUACCCGGUCCCUAGUGCGGUGACGAGAAUAACUGUAAAUGGCAUAUCUUGUAGGGAGUAAAAGUCGUAACA
rnacentral:rRNA from 1 species